rnacentral:lncRNA from 1 species
CAGGAAUAUUGCUUAUGAUUUACGGCAUUUGGAAAUUUCUGUAUAUUUCCAGAAUAUAAAUGAAAGGUAGAAUGCUAGUUUCUGUGUUUUUUUUUUCAUUUAUUAUAUAAAAGAAAAAAUUAAUGCAGUUUUUGUACACAUUUAAAUUCCAUAAAACAACCCAUAGAAAUUAGGAUACUGUAUUCAUGCACUCUGCAUUUUUUGUUGUUGUUGUUGUUAAAUGUCUUUGUUCACAAAAAUAACACCACAUUUUUUUUCUUUAAAGCCACUAAGCGGAGGGAGAACAAAGCAUGCAGUACAUUUGCAUAGUGUAUUUUCCCCAGCAUGCCUUGUAGAACGCUACGCAUAUCUAUGUAACAAAAAUGAAAGGGUCAAAUUAUUGAAAUAAAUAAGCAAAGGAAAAUAAGUUAUUUGACAAAGGCAUUUCCCCCACCACAUCAGCAGAGACACAGGAAUAGCCUGGGAUAUCAACAGCCCUCAGAAUGGGGGUAUCUUUUAAUAUCAUUUUGCCAUAGUUAUUUUUAGUAUGUGUCCUAUUAAUAACAUUAUUUUUAAUCCCUCCCACCUCUUAAAAAUACAGCUAAUAGCUUUAAUUUAUGCUUCAAAUAGUAUCAAGUACAAAACAAAACAAAACAAAAAUAAUCCCUACUUAAUAUUUUUCCAUGGGGACAUUUUACUGAUCUCUAACUUGAGGCUGGGAAAAACAUAAACUUUCGAACAUCCAAAGGCCAGAGGAGCCCUGCGAGCUCACCAGCUGUGCCAUCUGUUACCAAAGGAGAAGAAACAGGAACAGAAAAUAGAAUAAUAUAGUAUGAGUCGUAACACAAAAUAAAGUUCAUAUGUUUUAUGUAAAGGAAUAAAAUAAGUAAAUUACACUCACAGAUUGCAAGGCUAUGAAAUAAAUUGCUGGAAAAUAUCAAGCAGCAGAAUUACAAAUAUGAGAGAUGAAAUAAAUUGGUAAGACAGAGAACCAAAUCUACAUAAGUCUAAAAAACAGGACUGCCAAAUUUAACAGUGGGUUUUGUUGUAAGUUUGUGCUAUAACAAAUGUGCUUCUUUCUCCUCAAUCUAUUUUCAUUUAUUGGCAAAAUAUAUAUAUAUACUAUAAUUUUGUACUGUACAAUAUAUAUUUUUGCUACAUUAUUUUUCUACUGCUAAUGCAGAAGUAACAACAUAGAUUUAUUUUGGCAAUAAAAUGCUUUCGUUUUAAUAACGUUCCAGAAAAUAUUGUAAGGCAUAUGAAAAAUAGUAUGCAACAAUAUAGCGUUAAUGACCCCCACCUGUGUGACACCCCUGUGCGAACAGAACUCACAGCGAUUUCCCCGCAUCCGGGAUGCCCUGUGUGUAUGGAAUCCACACUGAUUUCCAUGAAGUGUAUGUAGUAGUAUGCAGGCAGGGCAAGAAAGGCCCCUGCGUAAACACAGAUCGAGCUGUUUGUUGGGAGAUUUAAAUAUUUAAAAUAUAACCCAAGACUCUUGAAACGCUAACGAUCUGCUACUCUUCUCAGUUCUCAUUUUAACUCUUUAUAACUUUCAAAUGAGGAAGAAUCAGUGAAUUCCCUAAGCUAUUAUAAGUUCAUUGGUAACAUUUUCUUCCAUCUUCCUGUGAAUAUUUUACAUCCACCAAAAAGAAAGUUUCAUGAAAAGUUAUGAUUCCCCAAGUCUUAGUUAGCACUAUCCCCUCUUAUGUAUAUGUAUUUAUGGCAAAUAGGAGUUACAGCCCUUAAUUAAGAUUAUCUGAUGAGAUACGUCCUAACCUUCUCAUGAUACACCUUCAUUACAUGCAGCAUUUUGUCUUAAGUUAUCCACAAGUAAAGACAUUGCUAUCAGAGGAUUAUUUCAUUGGAGAAAGGUCCUUUUAACAAAAGAAGAAACCUUAAAGAGUAAUUUCUGAAUGCUGUAGCUGUCUGCCCAUAUAAGCCAGUUUUACGAUUUUGAUAAACCAGAUUGCUUAACUCAACAAGAAGUUAUUCUUAAUGUCUGUCCAGCAGCUCUUAAGUUACCUGAUUCUAUCAUCAUUAUCAUUUCAAAGAAAAGGACUGUUGUUUGCCAGGUAGACACAGCUGGAGUAAGUAACUUAACAGUUACAGUGUUGACAAUAUUUAAAGAUGUAAGGAACUGAUAAACAUUUUAUUACAUGAUUUCCUGCAGUUUUUACUCAUACAAGUCAUUCAAGGAUUAGAUGUAUAUCAUUAAAAAUGUAACACUGUCAUGAGAGACAAAGGCAAAUAUAAAGGAGUAAAGGUGAUGUAAUCAUGUAUUUGAAAUGUUGAUAUGAGGUUUGGUGCAAUUACAUGGGAGUUGCAUACAAUGCAGAUCCUUACCCAGUGGCCACAGCAUGCCCUUAGUACCCCUAGAAGUCAAGGAUCAACCAACUCUGCCUUUAAACAUCUAGUCUCUGGAUUUCUCUUCCUUAGACCUGAGCUAGAGGCUACAUUUGGCACAGAGGUAGUUCCUUUCGCUUUGCUUUGUUCCCUAGGAUGGCUUCUUGUUAAACUCACGCCAUGAGAAGCUGUGGAUCGAUUUCAAGAAAACCUAGCUGACGUUGAAGAAAUGAGAACAUGCUGGGAGCAUUUGAGAACAGUGUGACCUCUAAAGGGCAGGCGUGUCUGAACACUUCCAACCCCGCACACGGCUGGCAGAAUGGACACUCUCACCAGGACUUUCCCCUCCAAACAUAGACUGUUUUCUCUAGAAAAGAGCCUCAAAGCCUAUGUCGGGAGUCAUGGCUGCACCCCCCGGGCGAUCCUCGGUUCCUAUGGGGCUUAUAAGUGUCCUGGUACGAGUCCGGGUAAUCUUCUUCCACCAGAGGGUAGUGGUCUCGGCUGUGCUGGGAGCUGGAAGACAAGCGGUUCCUACUCUUGCGGGCCCUCUCAUUGUGGUAAUUUUCAUCCGAGGUCAUUAGGCUUCGUCUUUCAAUUGGAGAAUUCUCUGUAGAAUGGUUGCUGUGUCUCAUUCGCUGACUCUAAGAAUAUCAGACAGUUCACUGGUUAGAUAAGGUCAGCUUCAUUUAGCUAAACAUGCUAACGCGUGUGUGUGUGUGUGCAGUAACAGGGUCUAUACAACGAGCUGCUGUCUGACCUAAUAAAGCAUUUUGAUUCACAAACGUUCUGCUUAGAAUACCUGGCCUUUUUCUUUGGGGUGCAACAUACAUAGAUGCUUUAUUACUGUUAGAUUAUGAAUGUAAGUUUCUGAUAUUGAAUGACUGUG